rnacentral:rRNA from 1 species
CCUACGGGAGGCUGCAGUGGGGAAUAUUGCACAAUGGGGGGAACCCUGAUGCAGCGACGCCGCGUGAGUGAAGAAGUAUUUCGGUAUGUAAAGCUCUAUCAGCAGGGAAGAAAAUGACGGUACCUGACUAAGAAGCCCCGGCUAACUACGUGCCAGCAGCCGCGGUAAUACGUAGGGGGCAAGCGUUAUCCGGAUUUACUGGGUGUAAAGGGAGCGUAGACGGUUAUGCAAGUCUGAAGUGAAAGCCCAAGGCUCAACCAUGGGACUGCUUUGGAAACUGGCAGUCUCGAGUUGGAGAGAAGUAUGCGGAAUGCGCGGUGUAGCGGUGAAAUGCAUAGAUAUCGCGCAGAACUCCGAUUGCGAAGGCAGCAUGCCGGCUCCACACUGACGCUGAGGCACGAAAGCGUGGGUAUCGAACAGGAUUAGAUACCCCAGUAGUC